UACGUAGGGGGCAAGCGUUAUCCGGAUUUACUGGGUGUAAAGGGAGCGUAGACGGCAUGGCAAGUCUGAAGUGAAAGCCCGGGGCUCAACCGCGGGACUGCUUUGGAAACUGUGUGACUGGAGUGCAGGAGAGGUAAGUGGAAUUCCUAGUGUAGCGGUGAAAUGCGUAGAUAUUAGGAGGAACACCAGUGGCGAAGGCGGCUUACUGGACUGUAACUGACGUUGAGGCUCGAAAGCGUGGGGAGCAAACAGGAUUAGAUACCCCGGUAGUCC
rnacentral:rRNA from 1 species